CCUACGGGAGGCAGCAGUGGGGAAUAUUGGACAAUGGGCGAAAGCCUGAUCCAGCCAUGCCGCGUGUGUGAAGAAGGUCUUCGGAUUGUAAAGCACUUUAAGUUGGGACGAAGGGCAGUAAGCGAAUACCUUGCUGUUUUGACGUUACCGACAGAAUAAGCACCGGCUAACUCUGUGCCAGCAGCCGCGGUAAU
rnacentral:rRNA from 1 species